rnacentral:rRNA from 1 species
CUUUACUGUAGCCUGGUAUUGGGUUCGGGCUUUGACUGCGCAGGAUAGGUGGGAGACUAUGAAGCUGCCCUUGUGGGGGCAGUAGAGUCAUCAGUGAGAUACCACUCUGUCAAGGCUAGAAUUCUAACCGUCUGCCGUUAUCCGGCGACGGAACAGUAUCAGGUGGGCAGUUUGACUGGGGCGGUCGCCUCCUAAAUGGUAACGGAGGCGCGCAAAGGUUCCCUCAGGCUGGUUGGAAAUCAGCCGCAGAGUGUAAAGGCAGAAGGGAGCUUGACUGCAAGAGCAACAACUCAAGCAGGGACGAAAGUCGGCCUUAGUGAUCCGACGGCGCUGAGUGGAAGGGCCGUCGCUCAACGGAUAAAAGUUA